AUUGGGAAUGCUUGUAGAUGCUGACUGUGAAACUAUGUAGAUGCAGUUAAAUGGUUCGAUCCUUGUGAACAAGGGGGGCUAGGGCCUUCAAUUGAAGUGCUAAGUUGGCAUUAAUGAUGCUUAGAACAACAAUGAUUAAAUUGUUCUGGAUUAAAUCUUAAAAUUCAUAACUUAAGCAUAACCAUUGAGUCUUUCGGUCCUAAACAUUUUUGAUCCUUGUUGUUUGGGGGCUAAAUCUGAUUCCAUUGCCAACCCGUCUUUUCUAUUUGCAUGUUGUCUUAUACUUUUCCAGAAGACCUAGAUCUUUUUAAAAUGUUGGUGCAUAUAUCCUUGCGGUAAUUCUGUACUGCUUUCUUUUCAAUUUGUCCAACUCCUACGGGUUUUUCAUUUUUCCAAAAUUUGCGAAAUAUAUGAUAUCUUUCUCAUCUUUGACACAUUUUCUACUCUCGAAUUAUAUCUGUACCAUUAGGUCACUUGAGGAACUUGUAUAUCAGUUUGACAUCAUAACCUUCCUGCGGUCUCCUGGAAGCUUUCUCAUCUGAUAGGUUGAAAUAUGUUUACCUAAAUCUU
rnacentral:lncRNA from 1 species